GGGCGAUUGUUUACCAAAAACACAGGUCUCCGCAAAGUCGUAAGACCAUGUAUGGGGGCUGAUGCCUGCCCAAUGCCGGAAGGUCAAGGAAGUUGGUGACCUGAUGAUAGGGGAGCCGGUGACCGAAGCCCCAGUGAAUGGCGGUUGUAGCUAUAACGGUCCUAAGGUAACGAAUACUAUGGUUUAAGGCAAAAUUAGCAAAAUAAUAAAAAUGGUGGUAGAGAAGGGAUUUGAACUUGAGUUUCAAGGCACGUUUAACUAACACUUAUCCAAAAAACCAAUACCUUAUUUAUUUCCUAGAAAACAAAGAUAAUCUCAAAAUUUAAGGCAUGACUACUC
rnacentral:ncRNA from 1 species